ensembl:lncRNA
CCCUCAAUUCCUCAGGAUGUGAGGAAAUGAAGCAAAGGAAAAAUACCUCUCCCCUCCCACCUUGAGCAUAGCUCCCUGUCAGCACCGCAGCCUGGGAACCAAGGUGGAGAGAAGAUGUGAUCACACUGCUCUUGGCUAUUGGGACUGUCACCAGACAGGGUCUGAAGGGGUCUCUGAAGUGGAGCUGGGGAACCUCAUCUUACUCCACCCACAGGCAGGACAUAACAAACAGGUGAAAAAAGCCAGCCCCCACGGACCAGCCUCCUAUAGCAGAAGCUAUGAGGAAAACCACACAGCAGAGAAAAAUACUCAUGUAAAGAUCUGUGCACCAUGCUUAAGCUAUAUGAAGAAAAGGUCCAAAUAAAUCUAAUACCUAAACAACACACUGGAGCAGAGGGCUGCAGAUGAACUUGGACAGAUACUUUCUCAGCAGAUAUACACCAUCACAGGAACAGAGUACCUCUGAGCAUGACUCCCUUCAGUCAGCAUGGAAGAUUAAUGAAACCAGCUUUUAACUCUAAAAUUAUAAAAUGAUAUAAUGCAGAAUAAACAUAAUUAUUUGUUUGUUUGUUUUGUUUUGGUACCGGGGAUUGAACUCGGGACUUUGCAUUUGUGAGGCAGGCAGUAGAACCACUGAGCUAAAUCCCCGGCCCUAAGCAUAAUUGUUGUCAGAGCAGACACAGACCUUCUGGCAUUAUAUGGAAAGAUAUCUGAUGUAUUGCAUAAACCCGGAUCCCUCUAGCAUUUCCUCAGACUUCCCUUCUUCAUCCAGCUGCACUUGUGCUUUUCGUCCUUAAACAUGUAUCUGCUUUGAACCUGAUGGAUCAGGUGAUUCCAAACUACACUUUCCCCUGGGCUACUCACCAUUUCUAGUUCAUCUCCUGGGCAAAUAUCCCAACCCUUGGAAGUUAGGCACACAGUCUGUGCAUGUACUAAGCAUGUGGCUUUCUGCAUAUGUCUGCACAUCAUUUUUCAGGAAACUCUAUUUCACACUGCACCAGCUUGCUGAGUAGCUGUUGUUCACACCCACUGAGAAAUAACUCCAUGUGAGAAUAAUACCUUUACAACUUUGAAAUGUCCUCAGACAGACUUCUCAUCUCCAGGCCAUCAACCUGCUGUGAACUCUCAUCCUGACUUUUCACACUUACAGGCAACAGUCAUGCAACAUACUGUCAAACAAUAUGAAGGUUUGGGGAGAUGUGGAGGAGUGAAAAAUUUUAAAUUGGAGCCUGAACAUCUUUUGAGAUGGGUGUAAUUUUUAAUAAUUAAAAAAUCUAUCACACAUACAA